rnacentral:rRNA from 1 species
CCCCUAGAUGUUCUGGGCCGCACGCGCGCUACACUGAACAGUUCAACAAGUCUUAACCUUGGCCGGUAGGUCUGGGUAAUCUUUGAACGCUGUUCGUGACUGGGAUAGACCUUUGCAAUUAUGGGUCUUCAACGAGGAAUUCCUAGUAAACGCAAGUCAUCAGCUUGCAUUGAUUACGUCCCUGCCCUUUGUACACACCGCCCGUCGCACCUACCGAUUGAAUGGUCCGGUGAAAUCUCGGGACGGCGGCUUGGUCGCUUGCGUCCGACUGCUGAAACUUGAUUAAACCAUAUCAUUUAGAGGAAGGUGAAGUCGUAACA